GACGAACGCUGGCGGCGUGCCUAAUACAUGCAAGUAGAACGCACAGUUUAUACCGUAGCUUGCUACACCAUAGACUGUGAGUUGCGAACGGGUGAGUAACGCGUAGGUAACCUGCCUGGUAGCGGGGGAUAACUAUUGGAAACGAUAGCUAAUACCGCAUAAUAUUAAUUAUUGCAUGAUAAUUAAUUGAAAGGUGCAAUUGCACCACUACCAGAUGGACCUGCGUUGUAUUAGCUAGUAGGUGAGGUAACGGCUCACCUAGGCGACGAUACAUAGCCGACCUGAGAGGGUGAUCGGCCACACUGGGACUGAGACACGGCCCAGACUCCUACGGGAGGCAGCAGUAGGGAAUCCUCGGCAAUGGACGAAAGUCUGACCGAGCAACGCCGCGUGAGUGAAGAAGGUUUUCGGAUCGUAAAGCUCUGUUGUAAGAGAAGAACGGGUGUGAGAGUGGAAAGUUCACACUGUGACGGUAUCUUACCAGAAAGGGACGGCUAACUACGUG
rnacentral:rRNA from 1 species